UCAUGAAUAAUAACUUAUGUAACUAAUAAAUUUCUGUCGUUCUAUAUGACAAGAAAGAAAAAAGCAAAGCACGUGGGGAGAUCCAUUUUAAUUACGGGAAUAACUGUUGUUAUUCUCACGUGUCAUCUUCUUUCUAAACAUAGAAAUUUUUAAACUUCCUAGAUGAAUUUUCAAGUUUAGAAAGAGAUAAUAAUCUAAAAGAUUAAUGCAAAGAGAAUCUUGUUUCAGGUCCAUAGAUAGAGCAACUGUGUAUAUUUCCUGCAGAAAAUAUGUACGGGUAUAUUGGCUGCAGUGCUGGAUAUAUUUCAAGCAAAACAUAUUGGAAAUAAUUAUAGUAAAUGAAUUUGAAAUGAAUAUUUAAGAUGAAUUACAAAUAAUUAUUUGAAAUAGUAUUUCAUGUGCCUAAAAGUGCAUGAAUAUUAUUUUGCAUGUCUAAACAAUGUACAGCUCAACUUGGCUAUUACAUAUUGCAUCAUUACCAGGUAAUGUCGUUCGUCAAAUUUGCAGUAGAAAAUGUGCAUGAAACAAUAACGAUAAAAAAAUACCUUGACGUUUAUCGGCGGCGCAGGUGGAGGAGGAUCCACUUUAACGUUGAUAAAUUUUAGAACGUCAUUAUAGUCCAGUUGUUCCUCUUCGUUCUUGUGAAUGCUAUAUUAUUAUUGCAAGAUCUCCGCUUAUAUACGUACUGAUCAAGCAUGGAAUUUAAAAGUUCUACGUCGACUGGAAUUCUGGCAGCACGGAGCGUAGUAUACAACGUAUCGCGUGGUGGCUGCGGUAUCAUGCUGAAACAGUUGCCGAGGGAAUCUUCGUAGGACCCAAAACCAUUGUAGGGUGGAAUGUAUUUUUCCACUUUCACGCAAAUCUCGCCAACAUUUCGAGGUCUUUCCAUGGGCGUGAAGUCAUCCAGACCGUAUUUCUUCCUUUGAUGCGAUACAAGGAACAUUUUUUUCACGUGACACAUUCUUUUCUACGCUUUUUACGUGAGUAUUAACGUUGCGUCAGAAGUGGUUAUUAGCGACGAUGAUUCGAAACCAGGAGAUGUUUUAUGGGAAAUUAUAUUCUUGUAUAAUAAAUAUACAGGAUGUACCAGCUGAAAAAGGCCGCUUCGAUGUCCCUCUUGUUUGCAAUGCUUGUAGCACGUUUUAAAAUUUAAUUUAAAUGAAUAUUUUUCUUUACUUUUUAUAUUUUAAUUUUCUUUUUCUAAGUCAUAGUUAUGUUUUAUGUAGGAAACGCGUACUAAUAAAAGGAUGAUGAAAUUGUAAGACGAUGUUAGGACGACAUGUGAACUUACACGUUUAUGUUGUUAAAUGUUCGAAGAUAUUUAAGUGGCCUUCUAUAGCUGGACACCUUGUGUAUAUAUAUACGUAAAAUUUUGUCAAGUUAUUUCUAAACGUUUCUAAAAUAAUCCCCAACAAAUAGAAUGUAUCUUAACGCAUUAAAGUGAACUAAUUUUACAGUA